rnacentral:rRNA from 1 species
GGGAAUAUUGGUAAUGGGCGCAAGCCUGAACCAGCAACGCCGCGUGUGCGAUGAAGGCCUUCGGGUUGUAAAGCACUUUUGACCGGGACGAGGAAGGACGGUACCGGUGGAAUAAGCCUCGGCUAACUACGUGCCAGCAGCCGCGGUAAAACGUAGGAGGCGAGCGUUAUCCGGAUUUACUGGGUGUAAAGCGCGUGCAGGCGGUUAGAUAAGUUGGGUGUGAAAGCUCCUGGCUCAACUGGGAAAGGUCGCUCAAGACUGGCUGACUCGAGGAUGGUAGGGGAGGGUGGAAUUCCGGGUGUAGUGGUGAGAUGCGUAGAUAUGCGGAGGAACAGCAGUGGCGAAGGCGGCCUUCUGGACCAUCACUGACGCUCAGACGCGAAAGCUAGGGUAGCAAACGG